rnacentral:lncRNA from 1 species
UCCAGCAGUGAAGAGACUCCUGCUGAUGCAAAACACGGGUGAACACGGGAGAGCGAACGGCGUCGCAGCCACACCGACUGCGAACCACUAAACCCCGAGAC